CACCCAAUUAACAACUCUGGAGACAUCGACCAUCAGCACAAUUUCUGGUACCGAAGAAACCGCGACCAACGCCAUCACCAGAACCCCUGGAAACGUCUCUGAACUUUACUUUGAAGUCCAAAUGAACGUCUCUAUAACGGGAGACUGUGACCCACAACAGAUCCUUCCCUAUUGGCUUAACAUGAGUCUGCCUGAUGACUUGAUGAUGGUGUUGGAUCUGCAGCUGCUCCCCAAAACAGAAAG